rnacentral:rRNA from 1 species
AAUCUGGUUGAUCCUGCCAGAGGCGACCGCUAUUGGAGUUCGAUUAAGCCAUGCGAGUCGAGAGUCUUAGGGACUCGGCAUACUGCUCAGUAACACGUGGAUAACCUGCCCUACGCUGGGGAAUAACCUCGAGAAAUUGAGAAUAAUACCCCAUAAGCCACAAUGCCUGGAAAGGUUUGUGGUUGAAAGCUCCGGCGGCGUAGGAUGGGUCUGCGGCGUAUCAGGUUGUAGUGGGUGUAAUGUACCUACUAGCCUUCAACGCGUACGGGUUGUGGGAGCAAUCGCCCGGAGAUGGAUUCUGAGACACUAAUCCAGACCCUACGGGGUGCAGCAGGCGCGAAAACUUCACACUGCAGGAAACUGUGAUGAGGGAACUCCAAGUGGUACCACGAAUGUGGUAUCCUUUUCUUGACUCUUAAUAGGUCUUGGAAUAAGGGGUGGGAAAGACCGGUGCCAGCCGCCGCGGUAAUACCGGCACCUCAAGUGGUCGUCGCUUUUAUUGGGCCUAAAACGUCCGUCGCCUGUUUGGUACAUUCGUGGGUAAAUCAAGCCGCUCAACGGCUUGAAUUCUGCGAGGACGGCCAGACUAGGGACC